rnacentral:rRNA from 1 species
CGGCAUGCCUAACACAUGCAAGUCGAACGGCAGCACAGUAUGUAGCAAUACAUACGGGUGGCGAGUGGCGGACGGGUGCGUAAUGUGUAGGGAUCUGCCCUGAAGUGGGGGACAACCCGGGGAAACUCGGGCUAAUACCGCAUAAUACUCUACGGAGGAAAUCUGGCACGCAAGUGCUGGGGCUUUGGGAUGAACCUACAUCCGAUUAGCUAGUUGGUGGGGUAACGGCUCACCAAGGCGAUGAUCGGUAGCUGGUCUGAGAGGAUGACCAGCCACACUGGGACUGAGACACGGCCCACACUCCUACGGGAGGCAGCAUUGGGGAAUAUUGGACAAUGGGGGAAACCCUGAUCCAUCAAUGCCGCNUGGGUGAAGAANGCCUUCGGGUUGUAAAGCCCUUUACGUGGGGAAGAANGUUUUAGGGUGAUAAUCCCUACAGCUUGACGGUACCCG